rnacentral:rRNA from 1 species
AACGUCGAAGAAAUCGGCGGCUAAUACCUCAUAAUGCAGCGGAUCCGCAUGGAUAUGUUGUUAAAGGUUUACCGCCUUGGGAUAGGCUUGCGUCUGAUUAGCUAGUUGGUGUGGUAAUGGCACACCAAGGCUACGAUCAGUAACUGGUCUGAGAGGAUGAUCAGUCACACUGGAACUGAGACACGGUCCAGACUCCUACGGGAGGCAGCAGUGAGGAAUAUUGGGCAAUGCACGAAAGUGUGACCCAGCAACGCCGCGUGGAGGAUGAAGGUAUUCUAUAUCGUAAACUCCUGUGAGAGCAGACGAAAGACAGAUUAUUAAUUUGGAUGACUGUAUGCUCAGAGGAAGCCCCGGCUAACUACGUG